UUAACCGGUAGGUGGCAAUGUUGUAGUAAUUUGUACGGGUAGAGUUGUCUGCCCAUUUCACCGCUAGGUGGCAGCUUGAAUCAAAACAACGCACCCAAAAUGAAAGUUUAAAAAGAUGUUCAAUCUGUAAAUAAUUCAAGGAAUUUGCUUGUGGAAUUUAAGCCAGCAAUAUCAGUAUAAUGGAGUUUCACAAGCUAGCGCCUUACAUGGAUCAUCAUUCGACACCAGUACCGGAGGAGAUGUUCAAACUCUGAUGUCCCUGUCCAAAUAUUUAGCAGAAAAUGCGUUGACAGUAUCAACCCGAAAUGCUUACAACAGAGCGAAACUAAUGUACAAAAUUUUUUUAUCAAAGUACUUUACAGGUGCACCAUUGUUUCCAAUGUCAAGUGAACAUAUUGUUUUAUUUAUUUCUUGUUGCUAUCAAAAACAACUGUCUCCACAAACUGUGACAACAUACUUGUCCGCAUUGGCACAUUUUAACAAAAUGGAAGGCUAUCCUGAUCUAAUCCAAGAUUUCAUUGUGAAACGGACACUGCAGGGGUUUCAAAAGCUCAAAGCAAGACCAGACACACGCCUUCCAAUCACACCAGUGAUCUUGCAGAAAAUUGUAAAUGCUCUACCGCAGUGUACCCAAUCCUUUUAUCAAAAAACACUGUUUAAGGCAAUGUUUUUAUUAGCAUUUCAUGCCUUCUGACGAGUGGGAGAGAUUACAUCAAAAACGAAUAAUACGUUGAAUUUAUCAGCAAUUUCAUUUGCUCAUCAACCGAAUGGUGUUCCAGAAAGUAUGUCUUUGACAAUGGUUGAUUAUAAACAUCACAGAGAGAAACCUCCAGUAACAUUUCAUUUACAGGCAAACAAAGAAAAUCCACAAUUGUGUGCAGUUUCAGCUAUGUGGGAAUAUAGAGCAAUAAGAGGAGAUUGUGACGGACCACUUUUCAUGUUUCAGGACAAAUCACCAGUUUCUAGGCAUUAUUUCAAUCAACAAUUAAAAAUAUUACUCAAUUAUUUAGAUUAUGACACAAAACUGUACAAAGGACAUUCGUUUCGAAUAAGUGCAGCUACGUUAGCUAAAUCAAAGGGAAUAUCAGAUGAACAAAUUCAAUUGCUUGGACGAUGGAAGUCAAACGCAUACAGGAAAUAUAUUCGCAUUCCCUUGUUAAAUAUUUAGUUUAUCCAAUGGGUACAAAUUAUUUUAACAAACUGGAGAACAUGGGGACAGGGGCCUCUGUUUUGACAGUAUGAAGGUUGAGCUUUAAACUAUUAUACAUUCUGAUUACUCGUAUUGUUAAUUACAGCAGUUCUUUGGGACAUAUGAAAAUGACUGUUAUAAUUUUUGUUGCAACAAUAUUGUCCUAUAUAUAUGUUUACUAAGAAGCAUGGAGUCAGGGGCUUCUGUUUCUUUAGCAUGCAUUAUUUCGAUGUUCUAUGUAGUUUCUAAACAAAAUUUUGUUUUGCUAUAACAUUAUAUUACUUAUGGUUAUAAAAGAAAAACAUGGGGUCAGGGGCCUCUGUUUUUCAUUUUUGUUAAUAGAACUUCAUUUUGCAGUUCUAAGUAAACGCUUUAACAUGGUUUGUGUUUAAGUAUCUUGCCUCAAGUCUAACAUCACAGAAACAUGGGGUCAGGGGCCUCUGUUUCAACUUAAAAAGGUUAUAAUGAAAUAUUUUUGCACAAUUAUAAGUACUCUGAUUGAUUUCUGGGUGGGGGGUAUUACUUGUUAAGUAAUACUUUGGCAAAAGUUGAUCCCUCACCUUUGAUUUUAAAGGAAAUUUUUUAACUAUGUUCAAGUGGUAAGCAUUGUUUUUUAUAUUAUUUACAUGUUGUAUAUAAUUUGUAUAUAUGUGAUAAAGUUUAUCGUCAUUUUGUUAUUAAAUGACCAAUUUCGAUUCAA